rnacentral:rRNA from 1 species
GAUGAACGCUGGCGGCGUGCCUAAUACAUGCAAGUCGAGCGAACAGACGAGGAGCUUGCUCCUCUGACGUUAGCGGCGGACGGGUGAGUAACACGUGGAUAACCUACCUAUAAGACUGGGAUAACUUCGGGAAACCGGAGCUAAUACCGGAUAAUAUAUUGAACCGCAUGGUUCAAUAGUGAAAGACGGUUUUGCUGUCACUUAUAGAUGGAUCCGCGCCGCAUUAGCUAGUUGGUAAGGUAACGGCUUACCAAGGCAACGAUGCGUAGCCGACCUGAGAGGGUGAUCGGCCACACUGGAACUGAGACACGGUCCAGACUCCUACGGGAGGCAGCAGUAGGGAAUCUUCCGCAAUGGGCGAAAGCCUGACGGAGCAACGCCGCGUGAGUGAUGAAGGUCUUCGCAUCGUAAAACUCUGUUAUUAGGGAAGAACAAAUGUGUAAGUAACUAUGCACGUCUUGACGGUACCUAAUCAGAAAGCCACGGCUAACUACGUG